rnacentral:rRNA from 1 species
UUAUAGCCUAUAAAACCUUAUUGGACAAUACAAACUACAGUUUAAAAUCUAAAGAAAUUGGCGGUGUUCUAUCUCACUAGGGGAACCUGUCUCAUAACCCGAUAAUCCACGUAUACCCUUCCUAUCUUUGAAUAACUCAGUCUGUGUACUGCCGUCGAAAGUAAACCCUUUAUAGGUAAGUCAGCAAAAAUGUUAUCAACAUCUACGUCAGGUCAAAGUACAACCUAUAGAUAGGUGAUGAUGGGUGAUAACUUAUAAUAUAAAAACGAAUUACUAGAUUAAAUCUACUAUUAGGAGUACUUAGUUGUAAUUUAAAACAUAAAUUUUAAAUGACUAAAGACCUAGAACAAGUACAUAUCGCCCGUCACUCCUUUCGAAAGAAA